rnacentral:tRNA from 1 species
GCGUAGAUGGGUGAGUGGUUAAAACCAUCGGACUGUAAAUCCGACGCGAAAGCAUCCCUGGUUCGAAUCCAGGUCUGCGCAC